ACGAACGCUGGCGGCGUGCUUAACACAUGCAAGUCGAGCGGUAAGGCCCUUUCGGGGGUACGACGAGCGGCGAACGGGUGAGUAACACGUGGGUGACCUGCCCUUAGCUCUGGGAUAAGCCUGGGAAACUGGGUCUAAUACCGGAUAUGACUCCAUGACGCAUGUUGUGGGGUGGAAAGCCUUGUGCGGCUAGGGAUGGGCCUGCGGCCUAUCAGCUUGUUGGUGGGGUGANGGCCUACCAAGGCGACGACGGGUAGCCGGCCUGAGAGGGCGACCGGCCACACUGGGACUGAGACACGGCCCAGACUCCUACGGGAGGCAGCAGUGGGGAAUCUUGCGCAAUGGGCGAAAGCCUGACGCAGCGACGCCGCGUGGGGA
rnacentral:rRNA from 1 species